rnacentral:rRNA from 1 species
UACGUAGGCAGCAAGCGUUGUUCGGAGUUACUGGGCGUAAAGGGUGUGUAGGCGGUCUUCUAAGUUUGGUGUGAAAUCUCCCGGCUCAACUGGGAGGGUGCGCCGAAAACUGGAAGGCUAGAGUACUGGAUGGGAGAGUGGAAUUCCUGGUGUAGCGGUGAAAUGCGUAGAUAUCAGGAGGAACACCUGUGGUGUAGACGGCUCUCUGGACAGUAACUGACGCUGAGACACGAAAGCGUGGGUAGCAAACGGG